rnacentral:rRNA from 1 species
GUCUACCACUGUGCUACCCUGAACAAGCCCUCCCAUCUGAUCUUGUGAAGCUAAUCAGAGUCGGGCCUUGUUAGUACUUGGAUGGGAGACCACCUAGGAAGACCAGGUGCUGUAGGUG